CAUAGCGACUAUCGUGGCAUAUCAAUAAGCGGAGGAAAAGAAACUAACAAGGAUUCCCUAGUAACGGCGAGUGAAGCGGGAAGAGCUCAAAUUUGAAAUCUUCAAGGUUCUACCUUGACGAAUUGUAGUUUAUAGAAGUGUUUUCUGUUAGUAGAGUGGCAAAAGUUCUUUGGAAUAGGACAUCAUAGAGGGUGAGAAUCCCGUAUUUGACCGUUACUUUCCAGCUGUGUGAUACACUUUCAAAGAGUCGGAUUGUUUGGGAAUGCAGUCCAAAAUGGGUGGUAAAUUUCAUCUAAAGCUAAAUAUUGGCGAGAGACCGAUAGCGAACAAGUACCGUGAGGGAAAGAUGAAAAGAACUUUGAAAAGAGAGUUAAACAGUACGUGAAAUUGUCAAAAGGGAAGCGUUUGACACCAGUGUUGUUUAGUUGAAAAUCAAUUCAAUAAUUUUUGAUUUUGAGUAGUAUUGACUUCAUCAGCUUGCUGCUUUCUUUUCCGAAAUUAUUGAAUGCACUUUUCAGUUAACAAGUCAACAUCAAUUUCUUUUGUUGUAAAAGGGUAAGAGGAAGGUGGCUUACGCUUCGGCGUAAGUGUUUAUAGCCUUUUACCUCUGCAAUCGGAGAGAUUGAGGACAGCAGCGUAGACUCUUCGGGGUUAGAUACACUUGUGCUAAGCUAUAGCCUUGUAUAGACAACUUGUUGACUAUGCUCAGUCAUGUAGCUUACUCGCUUGUGCUAUUUUACCUACGCUUAGGAUGUUGACGCGCGUGUGUGCGU
rnacentral:rRNA from 1 species